rnacentral:rRNA from 1 species
GAUGAACGCUGGCGGCGUGCUUAACACAUGCAAGUCGAGCGAGAAGUUUUGAAAAGAUUCUUCGGAUGAAAUUUAAAAUGGAAAGCGGCGGACGGGUGAGUAACGCGUAGGCAACCUGCCCCAUACAAAGGGAUAGCAUUUGGAAACGAAUAUUAAUACCUUAUGAAACUUAACUAGUGCAUGCUAGGUAGGUCAAAGAUUUACCGGUAUGGGAUGGGCCUGCGUCUGAUUAGCUAGUUGGGGAGGUAACGGCUCACCAAGGGGACGAUCAGUAGCCGACCUAGGGAGGGACACGGCCACCUUGUAACGUAGGCACGGGUCAGACAUCUUCCGGAAGGAGCGAGAGGGGAACUUAGCAAAGGGGGGAAACCCUGAUGCAGCAACGCCGCGUGAACGAUGAAGGCCUUUGGGUCGUAAAGUUCUGUUCUAGGUGAUGAAAACUGACAGUAACCUAGGAGAAAGCCCCGGCUAACUCCGUG